rnacentral:rRNA from 1 species
GAUGAACGCUGGCGGCGUGCCUAAUACAUGCAAGUCGAGCGAACAGACGAGGAGCUUGCUCCUCUGACGUUAGCGGCGGACGGGUGAGUAACACGUGGAUAACCUACCUAUAAGACUGGGAUAACUUCGGGAAACCGGAGCUAAUACCGGAUAAUAUAUUGAACCGCAUGGUUCAAUAGUGAAAGACGGUUUUGCUGUCACUUAUAGAUGGAUCCGCGCCGCAUUAGCUAGUUGGUAAGGUAACGGCUUACCAAGGCAACGAUGCGUAGCCGACCUGAGAGGAUGAUCGGCCACACUGGAACUGAGACACGGUCCAGACUCCUACGGGAGGCAGCAGUAGGGAAUCUUCCGCAAUGGGCGAAAGCCUGACGGAGCAACGCCGCGUGAGUGAUGAAGGUCUUCGGAUCGUAAAACUCUGUUAUUAGGGAAGAACAAAUGUGUAAGUAACUAUGCACGUCUUGGCGGUACCUAAUCAGAAAGCCACGGCUAACUACGUG